rnacentral:rRNA from 1 species
AUUGAACGCUGGCGGCAGGCUUAACACAUGCAGGUCGAGCGGAGAUGAGGUGCUUGCACCUUAUCUUAGCGGCGGACGGGUGAGUAAUGCUUAGGAAUCUGCCUAUUAGUGGGGGACAACAUUCCGAAAGGAAUGCUAAUACCGCAUACGUCCUACGGGAGAAAGCAGGGGAUCUUCGGACCUUGCGCUAAUAGAUGAGCCUAAGUCGGAUUAGCUAGUUGGUGGGGUAAAGGCCUACCAAGGCGACGAUCUGUAGCGGGUCUGAGAGGAUGAUCCGCCACACUGGGACUGAGACACGGCCCAGACUCCUACGGGAGGCAGCAGUGGGGAAUAUUGGACAAUGGGGGGAACCCUGAUCCAGGCAUGCCGCGUGUGUGAAGAAGGCCUUAUGGUUGUAAAGCACUUUAAGCGAGGAGGAGGCUACUGAGACUAAUACUCUUGGAUAGUGGACGUUACUCGCAGAAUAAGCACCGGCUAACUCUGUGCCAGCCGCCGCGGUAAUAC